AGCAGAGUCCAGACUAGCUACCUGGAUUAGAAGUAGAAUCGCGGGGUUGGGGAUUUAGCUCAGCGGUAGAGCGCUUGCCUAGCGAGCGCAAGGCCCUGGGUUCAGUCCCCAGCUCCGGAAAAAAAAAGAAAAAAAGAAAAAAAAAAGAUUCUAACUUUAGGGGUUGGGAAUUUAGCUCAGCGGUAGAGCGAUUGCCUAGCAAGCGCAAGGCCCUGGGUUCGAUCCCCAGCUCCGGAAAAAAAAAAAAAAAAGAGAGAAGUAGAAUCGCAAGGUGACUGGAGGGCUUUUGUUCCCAUGGUGAUGUAGGAUGUACCUGGGCACUAGACUCAGCUCAGAGGAGGACACUCAGGCCAAGAGACAAGAAUCUGAGAGCUAUUGUCAGGACCAUCUGGAGACUCCCCUGGGCUAGCAGCAGGUGGAAACCGUAACUUUUAUGAGAGGCUGUGCCACCCAUUGGGCUGUGCUCUGGGGCACGGCCUAGUAAGCUAGCACCACCCACACGAAGGCCUGUUAUCUCUGCCAUCUGCCUUCCUUCAGUAGUAGGAAGGUUCGGAUCAGGGAUCCCUCCUCAGACCCCCCAGGUCAAUCCUGCUUUUAAGGAUGGUACCAUACCAGGCACGGAGAAGACUCAAAUAGGGUUCUAGUUCUUGGGGUCCCCAGUUGACAAAACUUCACGUAAGCUCGUAAACAUCGAACCAUUUAACUGAACUGGGGUGGGGAGGGGUUUUUUAUUUAUAACACUGCCAACCCUUGUGGUACAAGCAAUCCCACUGUGGCCAAUCCUAUUUCAAUUUUAAAUUACUAACACAAUGGCAAGCCCAUUGCAAAAUUCCUGAAAAUCAACAACUGGUUCUCCCCUCCCCAACCCCCGGGGCUUGUGGGGGAGGGCAGUGCGGCUGAUUAGGCAAGAUCUGGGGUAACCAAAGGCGGCCUUUGAAUUUGCCACGUAGCUGAGGCUGGCCUUGAACUCCUUACCCUCUUGCCUCUAUAGAGAAAGUGCUGGGAUUGCAGGCAGAUGACACACCUGUCCAACAACUGGUUCAUAAAGGCAGAUGCAGGGUACUUCACACACACCCGUGCUGGGCAGCUGGGACUGCCAGGGAGAGGUCCUUAGCAUACAUGAAAGUGGACAGGGACAGCUCUGGGGUUUAGGCAGGAAUAGACAAAGGUGACAAGCCUCACGACCUCAGGGACAGGAGGUCCCUGUGAGGGCCCUGCCUACCUCCUGUAUCUCCCCUCUCCCCUGUCAGCCAUUAAAGAUGAGGCAUCCUCAGUUGCCCUCUG
rnacentral:lncRNA from 1 species